rnacentral:rRNA from 1 species
CUACGGGAGGCAGCAGUGGGGAAUUUUGGACAAUGGGGGCAACCCUGAUCCAGCCAUGCCGCGUGAGUGAAGAAGGCCUUCGGGUUGUAAAGCUCUUUCAGUUGGGAAGAAACGGAGUUCUCUAACAUAGGGCUCUACUGACGGUACCGACAGAAGAAGCACCGGCUAACUACGUGCCAGCAGCCGCGGUAAUACGUAGGGUGCGAGCGUUAAUCGGAAUUACUGGGCGUAAAGCGUGCGCAGGCGGUUGUGUAAGACAGGUGUGAAAUCCCCGGGCUUAACCUGGGAACUGCGCUUGUGACUGCACGGCUAGAGUACGGCAGAGGGGGGUGGAAUUCCACGUGUAGCAGUGAAAUGCGUAGAUAUGUGGAGGAACACCAAUGGCGAAGGCAGCCCCCUGGGCCGAUACUGACGCUCAUGCACGAAAGCGUGGGGAGCAAACAGGAUUAGAUACCCGUGUAGUCC